rnacentral:rRNA from 1 species
UGCAGUCUGAAACUCGAGUGCAUGAAGCUGGAAUCGCUAGUAAUCGCAAAUCAGAAUGUUGCGGUGAAUACGUUCCCGGGUCUUGUACACACCGCCCGUCACACCAUGGGAGUUGGAAAUGCCCGAAGUCAGUGACCCAACCAAAAGGAGGGAGCUGCCGAAGGCAGGUUCGAUGACUGGGGGUGAAGUCGUAACAAGGUAAC